rnacentral:rRNA from 1 species
CGCAUCUGUGCAUGCAGCAUAUCAAUAAGCGGAGGAAAAGAAACUAACAAGGAUUCCCCUAGUAACGGCGAGUGAAGCGGGAAGAGCUCAAAUUUGAAAUCUUAAAGGGUUUCCCUUUACGUAUUGUAGUUUAAAGAAGUGUUUUCUGUUGAGGUUUUGGUAAAAGUUCUUUGGAAUAGGACAUCAUAGAGGGUGAGAAUCCCGUAUUUGACCUUUACUUUCAACUUUGUGAUACACUUUCAAAGAGUCGGAUUGUUUGGGAAUGCAGUCCAAAAUGGGUGGUAAAUUUCAUCUAAAGCUAAAUAUUGGCGAGAGACCGAUAGCGAACAAGUACCGUGAGGGAAAGAUGAAAAGAACUUUGAAAAGAGAGUUAAACAGUACGUGAAAUUGUCAAAAGGGAAGCGUUUGACACCAGUGUUGUUUUUCUGAAAAUCAAUUAAAGAACUGUUUAUGCUAAGCUGUUAGACUUUAUCAGCUAUCUGUUUAGUUUUGAGCUUUUCUUUAAUGCACUUUUCAGUUAACAAGUCAACAUCAAUUUCUUUUGCUGUAAAAAAGCUUGAGGAAGGUGGCUUGAGAUUCGUCUUAAGUGUUUAUAGCCUCUUGCCUAUGCAGUCGGAGAGAUUGAGGUCUGCAGCGUAGAUCCUUCGGGGCUAAAUGCAUUUGUGCUAAGUUAUAGCAUUUUAUAGACAACUUGUUGACUAUGAUUUGUCUUGUAGCUUACUCGCUUAUGUUAUUUUACCUACGCUUAGGAUGUUGAAUCUGUGCGAGACUAC